CCUACGGGAGGCUGCAGUAGGGAAUAUUGGGCAAUGGACGCAAGUCUGACCCAGCCACGCCGCGUGAAGGAUGACUGCCCUAUGGGUUGUAAACUUCUUUUGUAUGGGAAGAAACCUCCGAACGUGUUCGGAGCUGACGGUACCAUAAGAAUAAGCAUCGGCUAACUCCGUGCCAGCAGCCGCGGUAAUACGGAGGAUGCAAGCGUUGUCGGGUUUAAUGGGGUUUAAAGGGUGCGAUGGCGGAGGAUUAGAAAGCUCGCAGCUUAACUGUGAAAAUGCCAUUGAAACUGAUUUUCUUGAGUUCGAUUGAGGUAGAUGGAAUGUAUCAUGUAGCGGUGAAAUGCUUAGAUAUGAUACAGAACACCAAUUGCGAAGGCAGUCUACUAAGUCGAUACUGACGCUGAGGCACGAAAGCAUGGGGAGCAAACAGGAUUAGAUACCCUUGUAGUC
rnacentral:rRNA from 1 species